UCUUAUCUCUCAUCCCAUCGCAUCUUCUCUUUCUAUCAUGGGAAAUGUUGCCGUAUGAACUUCAUAUCGUGCGCAGAAAAACUUUCCCUGGAAGUUAACACGACGUUACUAUGCAACUUUUUCAGCUAAAAGAAACUGCCACGCCCAAAGUUCUUUUUCUCGGCUAUCGCUCAACCGCUCAACGAUACACUGCAUUAGCUCACCUCCAUUCAAGCCUGGAAAACAAAAGAAAAGUUGAAGUUUAGAGUAUUGUUGAGCAUUUUUUCUAAAGUGCAAUUACUCUUUUUACAGAUGGUACAUAACCUAGGCCACUUUCAGGAAAAAUUAAAAUAAAUAAUAAAAAAAAAUGAAAAGCAGAGUCACUGAUUUAGUUUAAUUUUAUCCUUUCGAUUCAGUUUGUAUAUGGAAGGAAAAACAUGGUUACAUGUUAUUUAUUACUGCUUUAGCUUUUAUUUCUCGACUUAUGCUUAAUUUUCUUUGUUUUCUCAGCAACGAAACGGAAUCUCAGUGGAAAAACCUUUUUUUCACUCCCUUUAGUUUUCUCUGUUUCUAUUUCUGCUCGCUUCCCUUUCUUUUUCUUUUUCUUUUUCUUUUUUGAUUGAUCAUUGGACAUUGCUCGUCAGGGUCUUUUUGGGCUACUACUUACCAGUAAUUGCUUAGCCAGCAAAGAAGAAUUAAACGAAGUUGAGAGUAGGUUUUGGUGUGUACUUAAUGGCACCGUCUGAUGAGGAGGGUGAAAUAUUGCCGAAGCAUGUGUCAAGUUAUUAUUUUGUUGAUAGCAAGGAUGUACCGGUCUCGUUUACGAUUUUGCCGGUCCAAUGGGAUGUAAGCGAGGAGUUGGCCAACUUGGAAUACGUAAUAGUUUUGCGUGGGACUUGUUGUAAUGGGAUUCAGCUGUUAAGAAUUAAUCUCAAAUAAUUCAAUAAUAACCUAGAUCGUGCAAA